rnacentral:rRNA from 1 species
AGAAUCAACGCUGGCGGCGUGCCUAACACAUGCAAGUCGCACGAGAAAGGGGAGCAAUCCCUGAGUACAGUGGCGCACGGGUGAGUAACACGUGAAUCAUCUACCUCCGAGUGGGGAAUAACUGAGAGAAAUCUUAGCUAAUACCGCAUAAUACCCACGGGUCAAAGCAGUAAUGCGCUUGGAGAGGAGUUCGCGGCAGAUUAGUUAGUUGGCGGGGUAAUGGCCCACCAAGACGAUGAUCUAUAUCCGGCCUGAGAGGGCGCACGGACACACUGGAACUGAAACACGGUCCAGACUCCUACGGGAGGCAGCAGUGGGGAAUUUUGCGCAAUGGGGGAAACCCUGACGCAGCAACGCCGCGUGGAGGAUGAAGCCCCUUGGGGUGUAAACUCCUUUCGAUCGGGAAGAUAAUGACGGUACCGAUAUAAGAAGCCCCGGCUAACUUCGUGCCAGCACGCCGC